GGUUGUGGCUCAGUGGUAGAGUACUUGCCUAGCAUGUGUGAGGCACUGGGUUCAAUUCUCAGCACCA
rnacentral:tRNA from 1 species